UACGUAGGGUGCAAGCGUUGUCCGGAAUUAUUGGGCGUAAAGAGCGUGUAGGUGGUUUGUCGCGUUGUUCGUGAAAACUCACAGCUUAACUGUGGGCGUGCGGGCGAUACGGGCAGACUGGAGUACUGCAGGGGAGACUGGAAUUCCUGGUGUAGCGGUGGAAUGCGCAGAUAUCAGGAGGAACACCGGUGGCGAAGGCGGGUCUCUGGGCAGUAACUGACGCUGAGGAGCGAAAGCGUGGGGAGCGAACAGG
rnacentral:rRNA from 1 species